rnacentral:rRNA from 1 species
CCCUACGGGGCGCAGCAGGCUGAUAAGCCGCAGAGUCUCCAUGGUCACCACCUCGCUAUGGGGUCGUUGGCGAACCAGCUGUCAAUAAUGGAAACGCCGCCCCCGGCGAUCUUGUCGCAGCAAUGGGGGCGGAUGCCGGUAGCCAGAAAUUGGCCGCCUCCCCGGCCGCCGAGGCCCGGCAGCUCGUAUUUGAACAGCCCCUGCAUGACGACGGUAUCCCCCGCCAUGCCCAGCAGCUCGCUGAUGCUGGUCACCUUGCGGCCGCCGUCCCGCAUGCGGGAUUGCUGGAUGAUGAUGU